rnacentral:rRNA from 1 species
GGCGUGCCUUUUGUAGAAUGAACCGGCGAGUUACGAUUUGAUGCAAGGUUAAGCAGUAAAUGUGGAGCCGUAGCGAAAGCGAGUCUGAAUAGGGCGUUUAGUAUUUGGUCGUAGACCCGAAACCAGGUGAUCUACCCUUGGUCAGGUUGAAGUUCAGGUAACACUGAAUGGAGGACCGAACCGACUUACGUUGAAAAGUGAGCGGAUGAACUGAGGGUAGCGGAGAAAUUCCAAUCGAACCUGGAGAUAGCUGGUUCUCUCCGAAAUAGCUUUAGGGCUAGCCUCAAGUGAUGAUUAUUGGAGGUAGAGCACUGUUUGGACGAGGGGCCCCUCUCGGGUUACCGAAUUCAGACAAACUCCGAAUGCCAAUUAAUUUAACUUGGGA